rnacentral:rRNA from 1 species
UCAAUAAGCGGAGGAAAAGAAACUAACAAGGAUUCCCCUAGUAACGGCGAGUGAAGCGGGAAGAGCUCAAAUUUGUAAUCUGGCAGCCUCUGACUGUCCGAGUUGUAGUCUGGAGAAGCAUUUUCCGUGCCGGACCAUGUACAAGUCCCUUGGAACAGGGCGUCAUAGAGGGUGAGAAUCCCGUCUUUGACAUGGACCUACCGGUGCUCUGUGAUGUGCUCUCGAAGAGUCGAGUUGUUUGGGAAUGCAGCUCAAAAUGGGUGGUAAAUUCCAUCUAAAGCUAAAUAUGGGCAAAAGACCGAUAGUGAACAAGUACCGUGAGGGAAAGAUGAAAAGCACUUUGGAAAGAGAGUUAAACAGUAUGUGAAAUUGUUGAAAGGGAAACAUUUCAAGUCAGUCACGUCUUCCGAGACUCAGCCAGGUUUCUUGCCUGGUGCACUUCUCGGUGUGACGGGCCAGCAUCAAUUUCAACUGUCAGAGAAAGGCUUGGGGAAGGUGGCACCUUUGGGUGUGUUAUAGCCCCUUGCUGUAUGUGAUGGUUGGGAUUGAGGACCGCAGCAUGCCUUCACAGGCCGGGGUUUGCCCACGUAACAUGCUUAGGAUGCUGGCGUAAUGGCUUCAA